UUGUCCAGAGGCCUGCAGAAACUUUUACGAUCACGAAGGAUGUUAUUGCCAAGAUAAUGAGGUGGCCCUUUAUCCAAGGGGUAUAAUGGCCAUAGAACAAGGAAAGACUGGGCCCUUUGGACAUAUGGCUGGAACAGCACCUAUUUAGAUAUAUUAUGUAGCAGACAUCCCAAGGGUAGCUGAGGAUCAGGUUUACACUCAGUGUUAGUCAUCUCUAAGUCUAGAAGGAGCCCCAAGGCCUAUGAUGCAGUGUCCCAAGUCAUAACCUGGGGUCUAACAGUAGAGAGUAGUUUUACCUUGGAAAGCCAUCUCCAAAUCCAAAGGGUUCCGGGAACAAAGACCCGGUCUCUGUUCCAGAAUGGUAGGGCUUUCCCUGGUAUGGCCUCAGCUUGACAGGACCCAGGAAAGGCACCUGGUACUUCUUAGACUGUGGAUGGAAAAUGGUGACAUUUUCAACUCAAAGGUUGUGCUUACUACACUCCUUAAGGGGAGAGUAGUAAAUAAGUGGUCUCUGCACUACUAGGGUUAUCCGCUCUCCCCAGGGGUGGGGACCCAACUCCUCUAGGGUUUUUAUCAGUGAGAACCAAAUCUAAAGUGUGUGUAAACAACUGAGGUUAUAAUGUCUAAGAAUUUCAUGGGAUUAAAGUCACUGAAAGUUGUAAGAUAAAAUUAUCCAAAGGAAUAUUUUGAUUACAGAGAAAUUUAGUGAAAACUGAUGUCUUGUGGAAAUCAACCUAGAAGCAAAACAACUACACACACACACACACACACACACACACACACACACACACACACACACACAAAUGUGAAACGUAACUGCCUGCUGCUUUCAAGCCCUGUAAAACUAAAAGUUUCUCAAAAGAAGCAACAACUUCCACAUAUCACUCUGUAUGGCUGCCCAAUUAGCAUUUUAUUGACCAUAGAGGGUUUGAAAAGCUGUGGCCAUCUUUAGCCAUCCCCCCCCCAAAAAAAAAAGAAAAAGAAAGACAGAGACAGAGACAG
rnacentral:lncRNA from 1 species